AGAGUUUGUUCCUGGCUCAGGAUGAACGCCGGCGGUGUGCCUAAUACAUGCAAGUCGUACGCACUGGCCCAACUGAUUGAUGGUGCUUGCACCUGAUUGACGUUGGAUCACCAGUGAGUGGCGGACGGGUGAGUAACACGUAGGUAACCUGCCCCGGAGCGGGGGAUAACAUUUGGAAACAGAUGCUAAUACCGCAUAACAACAAAAGCCACAUGGCUUUUGUUUGAAAGAUGGCUUUGGCUAUCACUCUGGGAUGGACCUGCGGUGCAUUAGCUAGUUGGUAAGGUAACGGCUUACCAAGGCGAUGAUGCAUAGCCGAGUUGAGAGACUGAUCGGCCACAAUGGAACUGAGACACGGUCCAUACUCCUACGGGAGGCAGCAGUAGGGAAUCUUCCACAAUGGGCGCAAGCCUGAUGGAGCAACACCGCGUGAGUGAAGAAGGGUUUCGGCUCGUAAAGCUCUGUUGUUGGAGAAGAACGUGCGUGAGAGUAACUGUUCACGCAGUGACGGUAUCCAACCAGAAAGUCACGGCUAACUACGUGCCAGCAGCCGCGGUAAUACGUAGGUGGCAAGCGUUAUCCGGAUUUAUUGGGCGUAAAGCGAGCGCAGGCGGUUGCUUAGGUCUGAUGUGAAAGCCUUCGGCUUAACCGAAGAAGUGCAUCGGAAACCGGGCGACUUGAGUGCAGAAGAGGACAGUGGAACUCCAUGUGUAGCGGUGGAAUGCGUAGAUAUAUGGAAGAACACCAGUGGCGAAGGCGGCUGUCUGGUCUGCAACUGACGCUGAGGCUCGAAAGCAUGGGUAGCGAACAGGAUUAGAUACCCUGGUAGUCCAUGCCGUAAACGAUGAGUGAUAGGUGUUGGAGGGUUUCCGCCCUUCAGUGCCGGAGCUAACGCAUUAAGCACUCCGCCUGGGGAGUACGACCGCAAGGUUGAAAUUCAAAGGAAUUGACGGGGGCCCGCACAAGCGGUGGAGCAUGUGGUUUAAUUCGAAGCUACGCGAAGAACCUUACCAGGUCUUGACAUCUUGCGCUAACCUUAGAGAUAAGGCGUUCCCUUCGGGGACGCAAUGACAGGUGGUGCAUGGUCGUCGUCAGCUCGUGUCGUGAGAUGUUGGGUUAAGUCCCGCAACGAGCGCAACCCUUGUUACUAGUUGCCAGCAUUAAGUUGGGCACUCUAGUGAGACUGCCGGUGACAAACCGGAGGAAGGUGGGGACGACGUCAGAUCAUCAUGCCCCUUAUGACCUGGGCUACACACGUGCUACAAUGGACGGUACAACGAGUCGCAAGCUCGCGAGAGUAAGCUAAUCUCUUAAAGCCGUUCUCAGUUCGGACUGUAGGCCGCAACUCGCCUACACGAAGUCGGAAUCGCUAGUAAUCGCGGAUCAGCAUGCCGCGGUGAAUACGUUCCCGGGCCUUGCACACACCGCCCGUCA
rnacentral:rRNA from 1 species